rnacentral:tRNA from 1 species
GCCGGGGUGGCGAAAUGGUAAACGCAGUUGACUUAAAAUCAACCGCCUAAUAGGCUUGCGGGUUCGAGUCCCGCCCCCGGUA